rnacentral:rRNA from 1 species
CCUACGGGGGGCAGCAGUGAGGAAUAUUGGUCAAUGGCCGGAAGUCUGAACCAGCCAAGCAGCGUGAAGGAUGACUGCCCUAUGGGUUGUAAACUUCUUUUAUAUGGGAAUAAAAUGUUCCACGUGUGGGAUUUUGUAUGUACCAUAUGAAUAAGGAUCGGCUAACUCCGUGCCAGCAGCCGCGGUAAUACGGAGGAUCCGAGCGUUAUCCGGAUUUAUUGGGUUUAAAGGGAGCGUAGGCGGAUUGUUAAGUCAGUUGUGAAAGUUUGCGGCUCAACCGUAAAAUUGCAGUUGAUACUGGCAGUCUUGAGUGCAGUAGAGGUAGGCGGAAUUCGUGGUGUAGCGGUGAAAUGCUUAGAUAUCACGAAGAACUCCGAUUGCGAAGGCAGCUUACUGGACUGCAACUGACACUGAUGCUCGAAAGUGUGGGUAUCAAACAGGAUUAGAUACCCCUGUAGUC